rnacentral:ncRNA from 2 species
UAUAUCCACUAGGGGAGUCAUAUACGUGACUGAGACAGGAGUGCCUGGACCCUUUGAACCUGAUCUGGUUAGCGCCAGCGGAGGAAAGUGGAGACGGGUGCAC